CCCGUUAGAAACUUAUCUAAGAUUUGAUGCUCCCGCGGGAGCAUUUCCUCUGUUCAGUUAUCGACCUCUUUCUGUUAUAACUUCUCUCUGAACGACUCUCUCUCUCUGCACCUCUUCUCAGACCCCAUCUUACGGUUUCACAUUGAUCACCUCGCUGUAUUUUUUUUGUUUUCUCGCUAAGUCUAUGAAGCAGGAAUAAGGACCGAUCCUAAUUCCUGCUUGAUGGUCUUAGCGGAGGAGGGUAGUCAAUCUGGGUCAUAUGGACUCGAACUGCACAUAUUAAUACCCAAUAAAUGCUGAUUUAAUCGGUGCUCAAAUCUAGUUUGUUGUUUCGGGUUCCCUAAUCUUCUUCCUUUCUGAGAAAUUGUUACCUGGAGGUUGAUUCAGGUGCCCUAAUCUUCCUCUUUUCUGGGUGGGAUUCUCAUUCUAUUGAAUGGAUAAGAAGGUGGUUCAGCAUUCCAACUUUUUCAGAAGCUUGGUUCAUGAUCGAUGGAAACUAGAUGGGGAAUUGCUUCCAGGUGUUCGAUUCGCUCUUACAUAAGAUAUGUUGAUUACACUUUUCCUCACUUAUAAACAAUUGUCACAGCGCAUCUGCCUUAUUCUAGGGCUGUAAGAUAACUUUAUUACUCUUCUUUUUUUUAGUAUUAAUGAAAAGCGGGUAGGGGGCUUUCUCCCCCACUGACUUACCCAAAAAAAAAAACAAUUGUCACAACCAUCUCAUAAAUGUAUAAUAGAAGAGAAUCUCUAUGGUUAUGAUCCGUGGCUUCUUCCAGGUAUCCUUCAAUAGUUGCUAAUAAUGAAAUGAAUAUGAACUAGAUAUCAACUUCUUCUUUUUUACAUUCAAGCAAAUUGUGUAUUAAUAUGUAUCGUAAUCCAGUUUUUUCUGUCAUCCAUGAAUCAGCUGUAAAUAAUAUUUUCCAAAGAAAUGAAUGGUACUUCUAUGCAGCCACUAAUACCAUCCCAAAUGAAUGUGUUAUGACUUCUGUUUACUGGAAGGCACUCAAAACUGAUCAAGCCAUUCUUGUUCGUAAGGGAAAAUUGAUUGGCUUGGCUUCAAGAAUACAUUAGCACAUUACACAGGCAAUCCCAAUGCGGAAAAUCCCAAUUUAACGAUGAUUGGAUGGUGUUUGAAUGUGUAACGCCUGAAAGAAACCGAACCAAUGGUGAGAAUAAACCCCCAACUCUCCCUUUUAUUUGUGCAUGUCCGAAAUAAUUCUCGCUUUACAGAAUCAAUGUGUAGGUGAGGAGGGUGAAGGCGAGACUGGCAAGGGUGAAAAGGAGUAAAAAAAAAAUGUAACCCAAAGUGGUUGACAUGGAAAUUUAUAAAUGUGAUGAAAUUGAUGAUCUGUAAGAGCUACUUGAAAAUCAAGACUCAUUAGACCUCUAUACCAAAGGAUGGAAAGAAAUUAGAGGAGAGAGAUGAAUGCUAAAUAUUUUAGUAUAUUGGAUGUUUCUACUGUUUUGAUGAUUAGCUGGUAGUAUGGAAAUUUACAAAUGUGAUGACAUUGAUGAACUGUAAGAGUUACUUGAAAAUCAGGACUCAUCAGACCUCCAUGCGCGACGGUGAACAGAAAGUAGAGAAGAGAGUGGAAUGCUGAAUGUUCCAGCUUAAUUGGAUUUCGUUUUUCAUUGUAGAGAAGGGGCAUUUUUCUUGUUUAGGGCCUUACCAACAUUUCCAUGGUUGAAGAAACCCCUUAAUUCAUUGAAGCCUUUGAGCACCAUAAUGUACCUUCUUUUUGUCA